UGUUUCCUCGGGGCGCAGCAGUGGGGAAUAUUGCACAAUGGGGGAAACCCUGAUGCAGCAACGCCGCGUGAGUGAAGAAGUAUUUCGGUAUGUAAAGCUCUAUCAGCAGGGAAGAAGAUGACGGUACCUGAUUAAGAAGCCCCGGCUAACUACGUGCCAGCAGCCGCGGUAAUACGUAGGGGGCAAGCGUUAUCCGGAUUUACUGGGUGUAAAGGGAGCGUAGACGGCAUAGCAAGUCUGAAGUGAAAGCCCAAGGCUCAACCAUGGGACUGCUUUGGAAACUGUUAAGCUAGAGUGCUGGAGAG
rnacentral:rRNA from 1 species